UCCUUCUUGGUUACUGUCUCUCCUCCCCCAACCCGGAGCCCUCGCGGAAUCCUGGGAAAUGUAGUUCCUUCUUCCUCCUGGGGGUCACUGUUCUCCCCUGAGCCGCCUGAUUGGUUUGCUCUUCACAUAUGGGCAGCUCUCACCUCUAAAGCUUUUUUUUUUUUAUUGAAUUAUAAGUCGGCCACAGAGUGAUUAUUUGAGGAAAUGUCUGAAAGGGUAGAGAGACAAUAGAGAGGGCUAGAGGCCUCUGUGCUAAGCCUAACCCAGUCUGGUUUUCUUGGACUUAUAAUAAUAACCAGCAUUUAUAUAGCACCCAGGUUUGAAAAGCGCUUCAAAAUAUCAUCUCAUUUAAUCCUCUGCACCAAUCCUGAAAACUGGUUGCUGUUGUGAGUUUUAUUUACAGAUGGAGAAAAUGAGACAAACUUUACUCAAGUCGUCCCUAUUCCCAGAUGGGGCUUUUACUCCGCUGCGCCACGUAGUGGUCGACCUUCACUAACAGAGUUACCAUAGUAACCAGAAACCCGGCCCUCCAGUCUCUCUCCAAUCAGGCUGUUGAACCUGAGGUGAGAAUGAUAAAGAGAAGAGAGCGAGAGCAAGAAAGUUCUUCUUUCCAAAGUAAAACAUUUGAUUAAGCUGGAGCUGAACCAAAGGCAAGAAAAGUGGAAAGACUGGAGUUUGAUGUUCCCAAUCCUGCAAAAAUUCAAACAGCCCAGGCAGAGUGAAUAGAUCACUUGUAGCUGAAGCACAAAGGAGAUAGCUAACUGCUGAGAGAUGAGUGGAGUUUGGCAGCCUCUGAAACCAACUCAGUCCAAAGCUUGAGGACAAAUCCCCAGGAAGAGCUUUGCUCCAGCCAAGAUUCAAGGGUAAAGCCAGGAACAACAGGAUGGAAGUUACAGAGGAGCACAUUUAGACUUUACAGAAGGGAAAACUUCUAGGGGAAUUGGAGAGCUAUGCAAAAGGAGACAACUCUGAUUCAGUCAUCGCUCCCAAAGUUGUCUCCAAAUUGUGCUAAGAGUGGACCCAAGAUGACCGAGUCCACCCAGCUGGGUCUGAACCCUGAGGAAAAUCCUCAGAGCCCAAGAGCCAGGAUUUCAAGAUAAAAUCGCCAGGCAAGUUGACACACACAGCAGAGAUAACUAAUUCUUCUCCAGGAUGUUCACCAGCUAAACAGAAACCUCAGGAAAAUGGUCCACCAAAGGCUUGAGGUCUAAUCUUGGGGAGUGGAAUCCCUGACCUUGGAGCUUGGGCUGUAGACAGACAACAGAGCUGAGGAUUUCAAGCCAAAUGUUGCAACCAGACAAGCAGAAAAGUCCAGAGAAGGCAAAGUCUUGGGAUGCAAGAGAAAGGGGAUGACGUUGUUGGAUGUGGAACUUUUUUAGGAUUAAUGCUUUGUAGGAUCUGUGCUUAACCUUGAACCUAAUUCCCCUCUCCUCUCCAGACACCAAAGUGGUACAGAGAUAUUAUGCCCCCUAACGUGCUGAGAGAAAAUGUUCUUGAUAUAUUUGUAAAAUAAAUAUUCCUUUGUAAAAACUACUUUAAGUUGUUAAAUAAAAUGAGGGUGCUUAGAUUCUAAAAACUGGGGAGAAAAUAAUCAGUGGGAGAUUGAGCCAAUAGAAGA